rnacentral:rRNA from 1 species
AGAACGAACGCUGGCGGCGUGCUUAACACAUGCAAGUCGAACCCGAAAGUUUUCUUCGGAAAGCGAGUAGAGUGGCGCACGGGUGAGUAACGCGUAAGUAAUCUACCCUGGUAUCUGGGAUAACCCACCGAAAGGUGUGCUAAUACCGGAUACGCUGAUUUGUCAGGAAAGGUGGCCUCUUCAUGAAAGCUACUGUACCAGGAGGAGCUUGCGUACCAUUAGCUAGUUGGUAGGGUAAUGGCCUACCAAGGCGACGAUGGUUAGCGGGUCUGAGAGGAUGAUCCGCCACACUGGAACUGGAACACGGACCAGACUCCUACGGGAGGCAGCAGUGAGGAAUAUUGCGCAAUGGGGGAAACCCUGACGCAGCGACGCCGCGUGGAUGAUGAAGGCCUUCGGGUCGUAAAAUCCUGUCAGAUGGAAAGAAAUGUAUAGAGGUUAAUAUCCUUUAUAUUUGACGGUACCAUCAAAGGAAGCACCGGCUAACUCCGUGCCAGCAGCCGCGGUAAUACGGAGGGUGCAAGCGUUGUUCGGAAUUACUGGGCGUAAAGCGCGCGUAGGCGGCUUUUUAAGUCAGAUGUGAAAGUCCACGGCUCAACCGUGGAAGUGCAUUUGAAACUGGGGAGCUUGAGUACUGGAGGGGGUGGUGGAAUUCCCGGUGUAGAGGUGAAAUUCGUAGAUAUCGGGAGGAGUACCGGUGGCGAAGGCGACCACCUGGCCAGAUACUGACGCUGAGGUGCGAAAGCGUGGGGAGCAAACAGGAUUAGAUACCCUGGUAGUCCACGCCGUAAACGAUGUCAACUAGGUGUUGGGGAGGUUAAUCUUCUCAUUGCCGCAGCUAACGCAUUAAGUUGACCGCCUGGGGAGUACGGUCGCAAGAUUA